CGUAACACGUAUGUAACCUACCCAUAUCAGGGGGAUAGCCUCUCGAAAGAGAGAUUAAGCCCGCAUAAAAUCACAAGGUGGCAUCACCAAAUGAUCAAAUAUUUAUAGGAUAUGGAUGGGCAUGCGGAACAUUAGCUAGUUGGUAAGGUAACGGCUUACCAAGGCUACGAUGUUUAGGGGAUCUGAGAGGAUGACCCCCCACACUGGUACUGAGACACGGACCAG
rnacentral:rRNA from 1 species